rnacentral:rRNA from 1 species
AUUGAACGCUGGCGGCAGGCCUAACACAUGCAAGUCGAACGAGUGGCGGACGUGUGAGUAAUGUCUGGGAACCUGCCUGAUGGAGGGGGAUAACUCCUGGAAACGGUAGCUAAUCCCGCAUACCAUCAGAUUUUCCCAGAUGGGAUUAGCUAGUAGGUGGGGUAAUGGCUCACCUAGGCGACGAUCCCUAGCUGGUCUGAGAGGAUGACCAGCCACACUGGAACUGAGACACGGUCCAGACUCCUACGGGAGGCAGCAGUGGGGAAUAUUACACAAUGGGCGCAAGCCUGAUGCAGCCAUGCCGCGUGUGUGAAGAAGGCCUUCGGGUUGUAAAGCACUUUCAGCGAGGAGGCGUUACUCGCAGAAGAAGCACCGGCUAACUCCGUGCCAGCAGCCGCGGUAAUAC